GAACAAUGAAAUCUCUAACAAAAAAAGGAAGGAAAACCUCUCAUUGAGAGAUGUUCAAUUCUGACUUUGAGAGAAAACACCGUUCAAAUCUGGCAGAGAAAAUAAAGGAAGGAAAGCCUCUCAUUGGGAUGGACAUAGCAAAAAUUAGCAACUGAGAAUGCACAAUCAAAAAAAAGAGGAACCAGGAUUCAUGAGCAUGCACAAAGGAGAAACACAUCAUGGAAGUUGGAUUCAGUAAUAAAACACAGCGUACCUCUCUAAUUUGUUCCAUAUAAUCAGCAAAACAAACUUUUUUUCUCCUACAGAUUACCACCAAGAUAUCUUCCCGGCUACAUCCUUUCUCCUGCCCAUCUACUACAUUGUCGAUGUUGCCCCCUAGAUCACAUGAGAAUAGAUCAGGAUUGAUAGAAAAUUGCUCUCUCUGUGGAUCAGCAUGCAUCCAUUGUGUUCUUGAGCAUGGAAGCAGCUCCUGGCACUUCAUCAUGCAUAGGUACGUUUUUGCGCCUUGAAUCUACAAAUUUUAGACCCUCUUAUCAUACAGAGGAGGUAAGAUUAAAACAAACAAAGAGUUUAAUCUAUGACAUGCAAAUUAUAGAAAUAGCUCUGGGAGUGAUGACCGUGGGCGUGCAAAUUAAUCCUUCAGAAUUACAUUAUAAUUCUGGGAGUGAUGAUCGCGGGCGUGCCACACAAGUGGCCAUGCGCAUCAGCAAAAUCAGUUUCAAACAUGCCUCAUGUAAACAUAUAGCAAGGAGCGGCCUCAUGUUUCGAACAUGCCGUAUGUAUAUGCAUGUGCUUUAGUGCUUCAUUAUAGUACACGAUUUCUUCAGGUUUUGUACAGUAGUUCCAAGGGGAGGCAAUAAUCAAUUAUAGUUAAGGUGAUUUUCCACAAGGUACAUUUUUCCAAGAAAAAGUUGCAUUUUUAUUUUACUGAUUAUCUAAGAUUUAUAUAUUCUCAGCUAUAUUCCAAGUUACGUGUUUUGUUUUGUCAUCUCAGCAUUUUUUUACCUUUUUUUUGUCGUCUCGGCAUUUUAUACUAACGGCUGACACCGAGGUGAAGCCUCUGAAUUUGUUUUAACAGUUUGUAUGUAUUAUAUAAGAAGCAUUACAAUGAUAUAAUAGUAUUCUGUGUAAAAUGCAGUUGUAUUACCAUCCAUGCUUGUCGUCUAAUAAAUGAGUGCUUGUAAAGGUACAGCUGGUUUGAUACUCAUUGUUCAUUGUUCUAAGGUAUGUCUCAGUUUUAGAAUGGUAGCCUGUAGAAAAUAUAAUUGUGUAUUCAGUUUCAAAGUAUAGUUUUGCAUGAUUUUCAAAAUUUCUAUGAAUUCAAACUGUUAACUGGUAGUUUUAUACUCAAAUAAAGAUAUAUAUGAAUACAAAUUAGUUGCUGGUUAUUCCUCCAUGAUUUAGUUUUCCAGUUCAAUGUAGUCUUGCGCUCGUGUGAUUGAAAACUAAGAAUGGAAAAGUGAAGCUGCACGUCAAACUACACUGCGUGCAUAUGUGCAUACACUUUGCCCCUCCUCUGUUUCUAUCACUUUGAGUUGCAGAAAAGGGAAAUUACAGGCAGAUGAAAUAGUGUGUGGGGGUAGCAUUAGAAAUAGCAUAUGGGGGUAGCACUAACCUCUGCCUCUGAGCUUGCAUCGAGUUCCAAACUUGAAAUGAGUCUACAUGAGCCCCUGCUAUAUCUCGAGGUACCCGCUGACCGCCCCCGCGCGCGA
rnacentral:lncRNA from 1 species